UUUCUCCUACGGGACGCAGCAGUAGGGAAUUUUCGUCAAUGGGCGCAAGCCUGAACGAGCAAUGCCGCGUGAACGAGGAAGGUCUUCGGAUCGUAAAGUUCUGUUGAAGGGGAAAAAGAGCGGAGAGAGGAAAUGGUCUCCGAUUGAUAUUACCCUUCGAGGAAGUCACGGCUAACUACGUGCCAGCAGCCGCGGUAAUAGGUAGGGGGCAAGCGUUAUCCGGAUUUAAUGGGUGUAAAGGGAGCGGAGCAGGCCGCGCAAGU
rnacentral:rRNA from 1 species